ensembl:processed_transcript Gm15507 predicted gene 15507
CUCCAUCAUUCAUCCAGGAAGGGCUUGGCAGUGGCAAAGGCCUGGGGCACAAGCAAGCCAGCCAUCUGCCCAGACCUUUCCAGGACCACGACAGACUCUUUACCUCCAUGGGUUGCCUCCACGGGUUGCUACAGCCUGGACAUGGAAACCUGUGAGAUCUCUCCACUGUUUUUUUAAGAUCACGUGUUCUGAGUCCGCAGCCUCCUCUAGGCACCUGCUGCAGUGCCGCAGGGCUUUCUGACUGGGCAGAAGUGGGCCCAUCACCUCAUCAGCCUUCUCCCUCCUUCCUGUGGUGUCCCGAACUUCAGUCGGCCUAGUCAGAAGCAUUUCGGAACAGGCUUCGUUUCCCUAUCCUGUUGGCUUUUAUUCUUUUUUUAACGAAGACUCCUCACCAAGCCUUGCUGCAGGCAUCUGUGUGCCGACAGAGCCUCACUAACGGUGAAUUGUCCGGGUUUAAUUCUGAGUCUGGAUUCAGCAACUGUCCUUCCUGCUCUUUGCUCCCUAAGACCUCGUAAAUGAUCCCUCAGCUCCCAUCUUCCGGCAGUGAAUGGCACACCACAUGAGUCAACGUGUCAGAACGGAUGUUAAGGUA